rnacentral:rRNA from 1 species
UACAUGGGGUGCAAACGUUGCUCGGAAUUAUUGGGCGUAAAGAGCGUGUAGGCGGCCAGGUAGGUCCGUUGUGAAAACUGGAGGCUUAACCUCCAGCUGUCGAUGGAAACCAUCUGGCUAGAGUCCGGAAGAGGAGAGUGGAAUUCCUGGUGUAGCGGUGAAAUGCGCAGAUAUCAGGAAGAACACCCGUGGCGAAGGCGGCUCUCUGGGACGGUACUGACGCUGAGACGCGAAAGCGUGGGGAGCGAACAGG